AAUUACCACCAAGAAAAGAGAAAAGGCUAAAAAAGUCUUGAAGCGUUGGGCUGGAAUUGCAGACACAGCCUGCUCACAGAUGAUUCUGGAAGAGACCCGAUAAUGGAUGUCAUUAAGAGAAGAAAUGGCUGCUCUCUUCUUAUUUGUUCAAGAACUCAUUUGAAUCACUCAUAUCCUGUGGAGAAGAGCAAACCUCAACCUUCAAAUCCGUCGAACUGACGUGCAACAAAAUCACACUUCCAGCCAACAAGGAGUCAGUCGCCUUUUCCCCUCCAGGUCCUCCGUGUCACAAGCGCAGCCACCACCCGCCCCACACCUGCACACAGCACGCUACCGGAAGGGACCCAGGAGGUGAGGCAUGACAUGGUGGUGAGUUCCUGGUGUGUUCUCCAGGUUUCCAGAGGCCAGAAGGAAGGGCCCCUGCAUCCUUCAGUUCCGCAGAUGUGACUGGGACACUGGGACAUGUGAAUUCUCUACUCCGUGCAAUACACUUCGUGAAUACGGAAGGGGGCAUGGGGGCAGACCUUCCAAACUCAGAAACCACCACCAAGAAACCUACCUGAAGGGAAUGGUAGAGGAAUUUCCCCAUGGGGAGAGGAAAUGGGAGACGAAAACACGGAACUUCAGGAAGGAAAAAAAGAGCGUUGGAAUGGGUAAAAACAGCCAUAGAAAUACAACAGAAAUAUAAGUAGCCAAGUAAUAUAAGUAAAUGCAAUGAGCUACCUUC